UUUAAGUUAAACCUAAUUCAGUAAUCUUUGGACCUCCUCAGGCACACUGUCGCCCACCUCCCAGCCAACCACCGCCAGCCGCUGUCCUGCCGCCGCGAUUCAGACGCCGUCCUCCGUCCCGUGAUUCAGACGCCGUCACCGCCUUCUGCACGAAUCCAGCCGCGCCGUCCUCCACCUCCGCCUUUAUGUGGUCGUGCCUACAGCCGCCUCUGCGCGAAUCCGGCCGCGCCGUCCUCCGCGUUCUCCAGCCGCCCAUGUCGCCCAUGGCAUCACCAUAGCCAUCAGCAUAGGCCGCCGAUUCCCUAUAUACGACGCCAUAUCUCCCACCAGCAAUCCUCCCAACAAUCCCGACCCCAAUCCCAACCCUAAUCCGCCGCCAUUCCCAUCUUAUUCUUCUCCGGACUCUCUGAGUCCGGAUCUGAAAGAGGAGGGAGAGGUCAUCAAUUGCUACCUGGUGAGAUCUAGCGGGGGAGAAAUCUCUGCCAGUGCUUUGAAGGAACAUGGGUGGUAAUAAAGCAAUCAGGCUUGAAGAGAUUAAGAAUGAGACUGUUGAUCGGGGAUAAACUCAAUUCUUCCUUCUUUUCUAUUUCUAAUAAUUCUCAAUUUUAUCGAAAGGGAUUAGCUGUUUUUUUGUUGUUGUUUGAUUUAAUUUAUUUAUUGGAAUAAGAUCUGCUCCGUGUAGUUUUUUUUCUUUCUCAAUCGGGGAUAAUGGGGAUCGUUGCUUGCUGCAUAAAGUAUUGCUUUGGUUUUAUUAGUUACUCGAUUUUCUUUCUGCAGAAAUAGAAGGUUUCUCAGAUUUUGACGAUCAGAUAGAUGCUUUGCUUCAUCUGGCACACACACGCGAAUGUAUAUACAUAAACAUGCUCUGGUCUGGUCAAUGUGAGCUAUAUACAGAAGAUUAAGAAGCAGGGGAGUAGUGGUCCUGUGCAGCUUUCCAAGCAUGGAAGAAGCAAGGAAGAAUAUGUAUGCCUUUAGUACCACGACGUACACUGGUUUUCAAUGCACUGUAUCUGAAGAAACAUCUGAGAAAUUCAAGGGCCUACCUGGUGUUUUGUGGGUCUUGCCUGAUUCAUAUAUCGAUGUUAAGAACAAGGAUUAUGGAGGUGAUAAGUGUGGAGAGAUAAUACCCUAUGAGUACCCAACUUAUCAACCAAAGUAGGCUAGAAGUUCGAAAUUUAAGAGCAAAGCUUAUGUAAGAAAGAGAGAUGGCCCUCCUGCUGAACAAAGAAAGCCAAGACAAGAAGCAGCACCAGAAUCUGCUUCCUAAUGAACUAUGACAAGGUUGGAUUGGAGAUUGAAGAUACGAGGGAAGAGGAAGAAGAGGAGGAGAAUGCGGAUGAUGAAUGAAGAGGGCUAACAUUUUAGUGUUGUUGCCUCUGCAAAUGGCCCCAAUCCGAAGCAGGAGAAAGAACGGCCCCAAUCCGGGCAGUCUGAAACAGGAGAAAACCAAGAAGUUGAUCUCCAGCAGCGCACCAGAUCAUAUUGAUCCAAAGCUGUCAAGUUUGCUACCGAAAAAGAAAGUUAAACGGAAGCCUGAUGCCAAGGUGGUCGAAGCCACACUCCGCCUCGAGAAGCUGGUGGUUUCGCAGGGCGGAGAAACGACAUUAACUUGAUAAUCACUUGGGUGUUGUUUAUCUGUGUAAAGCAUUGAACUACCGUUGAUAGUUGAUUGGACUACAGUUGAUAGUUGAGUAGUUUUUUAGUUAGAUUUUUUGUUAUGGCGUAUUAAUCUUUGUGGUAAUUUUUCUAAUUAUUGCCACUGAACUACAGUUUAUAGAGGAUUUUGAAGGUUCUCUAUUACAAGUUAGAUUAGUUGUAGAGCUCAUAGAUUAAAUUUGGUCGUCUCUUUUCUCUUUUUGUUGUGGUGAAGGUUGACUACUAUUUUAUU